AGAGAGUGAACGGCAGUAGUGAAGCGACAGUUGUGUACGUUGGAUUGUGGUUGCUGCGUCGCGUGUAUCAUAACUUUCGGAACUUGUUGUUACCCGUCAAAACAAUGACUUCGAUAAAUCGUUAGAUUCGAACUCGUGAGUGAAUAUUGUCGUGUAGCAUCAGUACCAUUUAUUCGUGUGAAGUCAGCGGGUGAAUGUGAAGUGGGGAAAAACAAGUGAGUGCGGGAUUGACGUUCACGAGUACUUGUACAUGCGCGGGAUAGUCACUGGCGUCGCGACGACACUCGUAUGUUAUUGACAGCGGCACCGACGCACCACCGUUACAGGAACGUGGGAUCCUCCAGGGGGAUUCAGUGAAUUCGAGGUUAGGAUUACGGAUUGUUUUUUUUUUUAUUCAUUUCGUGUGAGGGACGCCUGGGUGUAUCCUUGUGCUGCGCCUUGCACAGACUUUCAAGGACUUUGUUUGAUGUGGGGUUGUGUGCGGUGGGGACGGAUUCGGUUUUGUUUUGUGUUGUGCACGUGUGAUUUGUGACUGCCGGUACGACAAUUGGAGGCUUUCAACAACUUGUUCGUGUAGCUGACGGGCAAAAAUAGUCAUUGAGGAGUGGUACGUCAGUUAUUCCGGGAGGAUGGAGACCUAGAUUGCAAUUACAAAUGCAGUGUAAGUGUUAAAAAAGAGUGAGAUGGAGGAAUAAAUAAAAAAAAAGAGGUGGUGGGCAAGUCAAAAAAGCGCGUGAAGGAGAAAUUAGAGUUUAAUCUAUUUUGGGGGCGUGUGAAGGAGUGAAAAUCAAAUUACGUCGACGGCGUCGUCGAUGGAGUUUGCCCUGCCCCACCGACGGAUACAGAAUUUUCUCUUGGAAAAAAAUUUAUUCCCCUUUUUUCGCUUCUACACCCACAGUGAGUCGACAAGACGCCGGCGUCGUGUCGUCGAGUGAAUCGUGAUAAGUACUCUUGACACGUCGCGGUCGACUCUGCCGUGUCCUCAUCUCCUUUUUUCAAAAGUACCACCGAAAACUGGUCGUCUCACCGUUGCAAAGAAAAAUAGGGGAUAAAAAAUUUCGACUGAGUUUUGCCUCCGAAUUUUUUCUCGACCAGACUGGGCCCCCUCAGUUCUGUUUUUUCUUUCACCUCUUGGAUCUGCUCCCGGGAUUUUUAUUUCUCACAUACAUCCAUCUUCAACCCCCGGAAAUCCUCGAGGCAGCAUCCAAAGAAUUCUGGCCGUCCUUCUCUCGCAAGAAGCUCCAGUGAACACGAAAUCUCGGUGAACUCAGCGAAAAGGAACCACUGCCGGGAGGAUAACAAGAUGUGAAUUGUCUGCAUCUGUGAAAAAAAAAGGAUAAAAAGCACCGAUGAAGUCCCCCGGGAACAGUGACAACUAGUGGGUUGACCUCGGCCUUCACCGGCUCUCCGAAAUGGUGUGAAUAUCCGAAACGGAGGUUCACUGAUAAAUUAUUUUCGUGCCGUCCUUAACAGCCAGCUGACGGAGACAGAGCAACUCGUUAAAAAUGUACAAGUUAUUGCGUCGCGGCUCGGGCCGUACGUUUCUGCUGUGUGCUGUACUACUCUCGUUACUACUGUGCCUCUAUUACGUCAGCCAAACACAGGGGCCCUCGUCAGGUCAAGCCCCAGCCCUUCUUGCUGCUCCUGUUGGUGUAAGAUACGAGAGGCCAACAACACUUGCUCCAGAUUACAGUGAGGCACCUGAUGCUCGCGUCUCCAUGGCCACCUGUCCAUCACUAAGACCCAGAGGAGCGGACAUCGAGGCCCAGGAGGAGUUUGAUAAAUUCGAC